CAAAAAUCUCCGCGCGGACGCGCGAUUCAAACUAACCCGGCUACUCUUCUCUCUCGUAUCCCAUAGAAAAAAAAGAAUGAAGAAGAAAGCGGUUGGUUGCAAAACUUCUGACCGGAUUCUUUGAGUUUUGCUCAGAGAAAAAAGAAGCGAGAGUUUGGAUUCCGUCCUACGAAGAGGAAAUCGUUGGUUACUAUCUCCAUCACAAAAUUUUGAGAAGCAAUAUAAUCUCGUCGAUGGAGUCAACACUCAACAGAGAGAUCAACAUCUGCAGCUUAGAUCCUUGGGAUUUUCCUUAGAAAUCAAGUACGGAAACGGGAAUCACCAAAACAGGAGCAAGGAUUAGUGAAGACAUUUGUCUGGAUUUUGAGGUUGUAUUGGUCAUAAAAGAGUUUUGGUGUUCUUGAGGGAGUCAAGCGACAUCUCCUCUAACCAAAUCAAAUCAGAGUGGGUGAUGCACGAACUUCACUACACCCUCUUGCCUAAAAAUAGAGGACCUAUAGCCAGUAGGGCAAGCUCUGUGGUGGAUGUCCAGUGAUGAAAUGAAAAAAUGGUUAUCCACGAGAUGGUUCCACGUCCACGAGUUCAAGAUCUAAAAUAAAAAGAAAAAAACUGAAGAAAAGUCAAAAGAGAAAUAAAAAAAAAAGUAAUUGAUGGAAGAGGGAAAAAGGAAGAUUUUUUUAUUGUUUUGUACUUUGUCUAAAUGUAUGAAAAAAAAAGUGGAUGACAAAAAAAAAGAACUAGUCUAAGUGUAACUUAAAUUUUGGAUGUUUGAUGUUUGUUGUUUAGAACAUCUUGGUUUAGAAUAUUAGUUAUUAGUAUGUAGAAAAAAAUAUUUGGUAA